rnacentral:tRNA from 1 species
UAGCUCAGUUGGAUAGAGCAACGGCCUUCUAAGCCGUGGGUCGCAGGUUCGAAUCC